UUUCUCCCCCUGUUGUGUCCCCUUGUUUGUCUUGUUCUGUGUCACGGGUGUCUGGGUAUUUGGCGUGGAGCUGCUCUGCCCUGCUGCAUAGCCUGGUGUAGGUCUAGAAUGGGGCGUGUCCUGGGGCCUGGAAAUUUGUAAUGUGGGGUGUAUUUGGACUCUAGAUGGGAUCUGUAGAUUGAUGAAGGCUAUCUGGAGCUGUUAAGUUAUCCUGCAGUGCUCUGACUUUUGUCCUCACGUUCUUUCAGACGCAGCCAGAUGGAAUCCGUGGCAGAGGGCCCCGUCCCGGGUGAGGGGGGUCCCGCGAGAAGGUCAGUCACCGUUUGUCUUUGCAGGGGGAGUAUAAAUGGUGCCUCUGUAUUACAGCUAUUUUCUUUGUUGUUAUUUUUAGGAACUAAAGCCAGAUACUAGCGGUCAAGGCGGUCCGCUUCUGUUACAACGAGACCACAUCCACAAGUGGCCAAUGGACCCCGGUUUUCACUUCUGUGGGAAUUGAUAUUGUGAAUUAAAUUUUUUUUGGAAUGUGUGGGUAUUUUGUGUUGUUUUUGAUAUAUUAUUGUUUUAAAUUAUAGGUGUCAUAUUUUGAGGUAACUUCUUUGUGGUUUCAGGUUUUUUUUUGUUUGUUUAUUUUUUUGUAUGUAAUUAUUUUUCAUGGAUUUAUUUUUAAUGUCUUUUGUAAUUUGUAGUAUUGUAAUUUAAUUGUCAUUUGGGAUAAGAGUGUAUAAAUGUUAUUUUUUGUUUAUGUUAUGUGGAGGAAUUUUUGUAUUUACUGUUUGAAUUCUGUGAGGGAUAAGGUUAGAUGUGAAGAGGUAUACUUAACAAGGCAUUUAGAAAAUAGAUUUUUAGGAUUGGUGACCAAUAAACAUGGUGUGUUUGUA